UACGUAGGGGGCUAGCGUUGUCCGGAAUCAUUGGGCGUAAAGCGCGUGUAGGCGGCCCGGUAAGUCCGCUGUGAAAGUCCAGGGCUCAACCCUGGGAUGCCGGUGGAUACUGUCGGGCUCGAGUCCGGAAGAGGAGUGUGGAAUUCCUGGUGUAGCGGUGAAAUGCGCAGAUAUCAGGAGGAACACCAAUGGCGAAGGCGGCAUCCUGGACCGGCAUUGACGCUGAGGCGCGAAAGCCAGGGGAGCAAACGGG
rnacentral:rRNA from 1 species